rnacentral:miRNA from 1 species
UGGAGAAGCGGGGCGCGUGCAGAGACACUCAGCCCCUCCCAGGGCAGCCCCGCCCCAUAUCUGCAGGAGGACGCGAGCCCAGCU